UGGCAUUUAGACAACCGGAAUACACAUAGG
rnacentral:piRNA from 1 species